GAAUUUUGGACAAUGGGCGAAAGCCUGAUCUAGCAAUGCCGCGUGCAGGGUGAAGGCCUCCGGGUUGUAAACUGCUUUUGUACGGAACGAAAAGCUUUGGGUUCAUACCCUGGAGUCAUGACGGUACCGUAAGAAUAUGCACCGGCUAUCUCUGUGCCAGCAGCCGCGGUAAUAUGUAGGGUGCAAGCGUUUUUCGGAAUUACUGGGCGUAAAGCGUGCGCAGGCGGUUUUGUAAGACAGAGGUGAAAUCCCCGGGCUCAACCUGGGAACUGCCUUUGUGACUGCAAGGCUAGAGUACGGCAGAGGGGGGUGGAAUUCCGCGUGUAGCAGUGAAAUGCGUAGAUAUGCGGAGGAACACCGAUGGCGAAGGCAACCCCCUGGGCCUGUACUGACGCUCAUGCACGAAAGCGUGGGGAGCAAACA
rnacentral:rRNA from 1 species